GUAGCAUAAUCAUUUGCUUCUUAAUUGGGAGCUGGAAUGAACGGUUUAACUUACUCAUCAGGUCUUUUUUUUAAAUAGAAAAUUAAAGUCAAGGUAAGAAUUCUUUGAUAGUUUAGGGGACGAUAAGACCCUAUAAGCUUAACAAAUAUAAGAUAACUUUGUGUUUAUAGUCAGUUUGUUUUACUGGGGCGGUGUUGGUAUUUAAACUACCAGGUUACUUAUGAUCCUUAAUAUGUAGACGAGGCGUAAGAGUUACUUUAGGGAUAACAGUGCAAUAUACUUGGAGAGAUCUUAUUGAUAAGUAAGGUUGCAACCUCGAUGUUGAAUUAAGAGUUCUACGUGAGGUAGAAGGUAUAGUAGAGGGUUUGUUCAACCUUUAAAUU
rnacentral:rRNA from 1 species